rnacentral:misc_RNA from 1 species
UACGUAGGGCGCAAGCGUUGUCCGGAAUUAUUGGGCGUAAAGAGCUCGUAGGCGGCUUGUCACGUCUGCUGUGAAAACGCGGGGCUUAACUCCGCGCUUGCAGUGGGUACGGGCAGGCUUGAGUAUAGUAGGGGAGACUGGAAUUCCUGGUGUAGCGGUGGAAUGCGCAGAUAUCAGGAGGAACACCGAUGGCGAAGGCAGGUCUCUGGGCCACUACUGACGCUGAGAAGCGAAAGCAUGGGGAGCGAACAGG